rnacentral:piRNA from 1 species
UGGUAUAUUACUCCCUUCUCACGCUGCUA